GAACGCUGGCGGAAUGCUUUACACAUGCAAGUCGAGCGGCAGCGCGGGGCAACCUGGCGGCGAGCGGCGGACGGGUGAGUAACAUAUCGGAACGUGUCCUGUAGUGGGGGAUAGCCCGGCGAAAGCCGGAUUAAUACCGCAUACGAUCUAGGGAUGAAAGCGGGGGAUCGCAAGACCUCGCGCUAGAGGAGCGGCCGAUAUCUGAUUAGCUAGUUGGUGAGGUAAAGGCUUACCAAGGCGAUGAUCAGUAGCUGGUCUGAGAGGAUGAUCAGCCACACUGGGACUGAGACACGGCCCAGACUCCUACGGGAGGCAGCAGUGGGGAAUUUUGGACAAUGGGGGCAACCCUGAUCCAGCCAUUCCGCGUGAGUGAAGAAGGC
rnacentral:rRNA from 1 species